UAAGGUAGUGUUACUAUUAUUAAUUCCUCUGGUACAGAUUAGUAACCGCUGCGAUUUCUCCAGCAUUUUUCUCAACUCUAGAAAACGGCACUAUAGUAAGAUCACUUGCAGGAAUACCUUCAGAGGGCCCGGUUAUUUAUGUUGGGAAUCACAUGUUGCUUGGUAUCGAAUUGCUUCAGUUAGCAAUUCAUCUCUUGAAAGAAAAGAACAUUAUGUUGCGUGGACUGGCCCAUCCCAUGAUGUUUAGCAAAACAGUAGGCUCAAAACUCCCUGAUAUGCAGAUGUUCGACUCGGUUAGGAUAGGUGGGGCGGUCCCUGUCUCUAGUCUCAAUUUCACCGUUAGAAUGUGGGGCAAGAGCUCCAGGAUCUCCUCUCCUUCUCUAUCUACCGGGUUCGUCUUUUUAAUAUAUGGAUGAAAUCGAUGACAGCUUGAUCUAUAUUUUUGUCCGAAACUGCAGGGAUCGAUGGUACUGGAUUAGGGCUCAUUCGCCACCACAGAAGGCUUGGAGAGUAAGUCAACUUCACCCAAUUUUCUUUAUUUCCUGAUAUUUAUAUUUUUAACAGAAUUAUUUUAGACUCUUUGUUUCCUCAUUUUCUUGUCUUUUGACGAUAGGAUAUUUGAUAUAUGGUGCCUUCAUUUUCCAGUCAGUGAUCGUACCCCUUCUCGAGGUAUUUCUUAAUUUGUCAAACAUUUCUCUGAUUUUAUAAUUACUCUUGUGUAACCAAUGUGGUUCAACUCUUUCUGAUUUCAGACAUUGUGAAGCUCAUUGAGAGGACAGUUAGAUCAGAGUACCAUCGUUUCCCAAAUAGGCCCAUAUAUAUCGUUGGAGAAUCUAUUGGAGCUUGCCUUGCACUAGAUGUUGCUGCGAGCAACCCUGACAUCGAUCUUGUCUUGAUUCUUGCUAAUCCAGGUAAAACAAAAUAACACUACGUACUCCCUUUUUUUCCUAGAUUCUUUAUUGUGAUUCUUGAUCAUGUUUGAUGCAGUCACACGUUUCAACAACUUCAUUUUGCAACCUUUAUCCGGUCUACUGGAAUUCUUACCUGACCAAGUUCCCAUCUUGAUAGAGGAAAACUUUGGGUUUAAACAUGGUAAAGUUUCAACUCCUUUUAUUUCUUGCACCUGAUUAAAUGCAAAUACAAAAAAAAAGGGUCCGAAAUUUUCUCUCUGAAAGACGGGUUUAGGUGUCUAGUUUUGGUACAGAAUCAGGGCUAAUUUAAAAAAAAAAACAUAGGUUACCCGUUGGCGACAGUCUUAGAGACUAUCCUGAAUGGAGCUGAUGUUGCGCAGAUUGGAAGAGGGAUCUUUGGAGACUUCUUUGCAACUUCAGCUAAUCUAUCUGUAAUACUAUUUUCAGAUAACAAGUGAUAUAGCAGAUUUUUGUGUUUAACAAGCAAUUUGCUCAUGUGUCUUCUUCAUUCUGCUGUUUCUAUUUUACUUUCUCCAUUCAUUACAUGUGUCAUGUGAUAGAACUCACGAAAGAAAAUACAAUUUACAGACUUUAAUUAGGAUCUUGCCUAAGGGCACACUUCUAUGGAAGCUUCACCUGCUUAAGUCUGCUUCAGCAUCUAUUAAUUCUCAUAUGUACACGGUCAAAGCCCAAACGCUGAUACUUCUGAGGUUCAUAAACUUGUCAACCUCCCUGUUUCAUUAUUAAUCAUACGUAGAAGUUUAGCGAACUCUUGAAGCUGAAUUGUUCCUUUAUAUGCCUAUGGAUGUUACAGUGGACGCGAUCAGUGGUUACUUAACAAGGAAGACAUUGAAAGACUUCUUUGUACAUUGCCGAAAUGUGAAGUCCGUAGGUUUAAGAAUAAUGGACAGUUCCUCUUCUUGGUAAGAACUUUAUUUGCGUCAGUGCUUUAACAAUGAAUUUAAAACAUCUUCUGCUUUUAUUGACUAUCUAGUUUCUACCAGCUUUGGUGCAACUGAACUUCCAUACUGUGUUUGAUUUACUAAUAAUCUUAUAGCUCGACUGAUCUAUAAUAGUGUAAUGCUAGGAGGAUGGAGUAGAUCUUGUGACUAUCAUCAAGUUUGCCUAUUUUUAUCGCCGUGGAAAGACACUUGAUUACAUUUCCGAUUACAUUAUGCCCACUCCGUUUGAGUUCAAAGAGUUUGAAGAAUCACAAAAGUCAGUUUCCGCAUCACUAUUCUGAUCUUAUAUGUCCAAUUUCUGUGUCAAAAAAAAAAUGUUGACUGAUAAGGUAGUGUUACUAUUAUUAAUUCCUCUGGUACAGAUUAGUAACCGCUGCGAUUUCUCCAGCAUUUUUCUCAACUCUAGAAAACGGCACUAUAGUAAGAUCACUUGCAGGAAUACCUUCAGAGGGCCCGGUUAUUUAUGUUGGGAAUCACAUGUUGCUUGGUAUCGAAUUGCUUCAGUUAGCAAUUCAUCUCUUGAAAGAAAAGAACAUUAUGUUGCGUGGACUGGCCCAUCCCAUGA
rnacentral:lncRNA from 1 species